rnacentral:rRNA from 1 species
AUUGAACGCUGGCGGCAGGCCUAACACAUGCAAGUCGAACGAGUGGCGGACGGGUGAGUAAUGUCUGGGAAACUGCCUGAUGGAGGGGGAUAACUACUGGAAACGGUAGCUAAUACCGCAUACCAUCAGAUGUGCCCAGAUGGGAUUAGCUGGUUGGUGGGGUAACGGCUCACCAAGGCGACGAUCCCUAGCUGGUCUGAGAGGAUGACCGGCCAACCUGGAACGGGAAACCGGUCCAGACUCCUAGGGGGGGCGGCGGUGGGGAAUAUUGCACAAUGGGGGCAAGCCUGAUGAACCCAUGCGGCGUGUAGGAAGAAGGCCUUCGGGUUGUAAAGUACUUUCAGCGGGGAGGCGUUACCCGCAGAGGAAGCACCGGCUAACUCCGUGCCAGCCGCCGCGGUAAUAC